rnacentral:rRNA from 1 species
UACAGAGGUCUCAAGCGUUGUUCGGAUUCAUUGGGCGUAAAGGGUGUGUAGGUGGCGCCGUAAGUCGGGUGUGAAAUUUCGGAGCUUAACUCCGAGACUGCAUUCGAUACUGCGGUGCUUGAGGACUGGAGAGGAGACUGGAAUUCAUGGUGUAGCAGUGAAAUGCGUAGAGAUCAUGAGGAAGACCAGUGGCGAAGGCGGUUCUCUGGGCAUUACCUGACGCUGAGGAGCGAAAGCAUGGGGAGCGAACAGG